CAGACUUUUUAAUGUGAUGGCUGGAUUUGAAUGAAUGCCUGAAAUUCAUAUUGUUCAGUCUUUCAAGUAUUAGAGAGCUACCCUAGAAAAAGUCCCAGACUGCCUGUUUUUCCAGUAAGGGCGGACCAAUGACUGAUUCAUACUUCCAUUAUAUCACAAUUGUGCUUUUGUUUGGCACCAUUAUGCCUCUUGCAAGUCGCUUGCAGAUGGUCCAGAAGCCACAGAACAGGCUGUACUUCAUUUCAAUUCCAGCCAUCACCAUCUUAUGGACUCUUUCCAGUUUACAACAAGAAGUUGGACAAACAUCCUGUGGUCAUGUCUGAUUAUAUAAACUGUUUUACUAGUAAAACAGUCAUCCAAUAUCACAAAAAAUGCAGCCACUUCUGGGGUGAAAUACAAGAAGCAGACAGACAAAUGAAUCACAGCAUAACGAACAGCAACCAGGAAGAGGAGAAGUCUGGUUAUGUAGACAAAGGCCAUGGAUUUGUCUCACAAGCUCUCAAUGAUCAGAAAUCUCAGUUCAUACGGAAGGGUUGUCAAUCUGAGGUCCAUGGAAGUACUACAGCUGGGGGCUGGAUCAUGCCCACUUUUUUCAAUGGGAGAAGAGAUGCAUACAAGAAAAGUAGUACAAGACCAGCCUGUCAAAACUGCAGAUACAAUUUACCAGUUCCUUAUCUUCUUGAGAAAAGAGAGGCUCAUUUUGUUGAGCAAGAGUAAAUUAAAGUAACACAGGAGGCUUACCACAUGGAAAGACAUAGGGCAGGGCUGGCUUUAUAAGAAUAAAUGUAUGACCCUUACAUUGAAAAUUAGAAGA
rnacentral:lncRNA from 1 species